GACGGAGGGCGCAAGCGUUGUUCGGAAUUACUGGGCGUAAAGCGCGGGCAGGCGGUCUGUUAAGUCGUUUGUGAAAACCCGGGGCUCAACCCCGGGAAUGCAUACGAUACUGGCAGGCUGGAGACUGGUAGAGGCUAGCGGAAUUCCUGGUGUAGCGGUGGAAUGCGUAGAUAUCAGGAAGAACACCUGUGGCGAAGGCGGCUAGCUGGGCCAGUUCUGACGCUCAUCCGCGAAAGCGUGGGGAGCAAACAGG
rnacentral:rRNA from 2 species